rnacentral:rRNA from 1 species
UAGGGAAUCUUCCACAAUGGACGAAAGUCUGAUGGAGCAACGCCGCGUGAGUGAAGAAGGUUUUCGGAUCGUAAAGCUCUGUUGUUGGUGAAGAAGGAUAGAGGCAGUAACUGGUCUUUAUUUGACGGUAAUCAACCAGAAAGUCACGGCUAACUACGUGCCAGCAGCCGCGGUAAUACGUAGGUGGCAAGCGUUGUCCGGAUUUAUUGGGCGUAAAGCGAGCGCAGGCGGAAUGAUAAGUCUGAUGUGAAAGCCCACGGCUCAACCGUGGAACUGCAUCGGAAACUGUCAUUCUUGAGUGCAGAAGAGGAGAGUGGAACUCCAUGUGUAGCGGUGGAAUGCGUAGAUAUAUGGAAGAACACCAGUGGCGAAGGCGGCUCUCUGGUCUGCAACUGGCGCUGAGGCUCGAAAGCAUGGGUAGCGAACAGGAUUAGAUACCCUGGUAGUCCAUGCCGUAAACGAUGAGCGCUAGGUGUUGGGGACUUUCCGGUCCUCAGUGCCGCAGCAAACGCAUUAAGCGCUCCGCCUGGGGAGUACGACCGCAAGGUUG